AUGCAAGUUCUGCUUUUGUUUGCUUAUUUGUUCAGUCACAUAGAAACACAAAGUGAAAACGAUCCAACCACUCCAGUUGAGGGCUUGAGAAUUCAGAAUUCUUCGGAUGAGUUCUUUCCCAGGGGAGCAGGAGUAAUAACUUUGACCACCAUGGCAUCAGCACAUUCAGUGUGUACAUCAGGUCAUCAGCAUAUGGUGGUACGGCAUUGCAGAUUACAGGGGGCUUCAGAGUUUAUACAUUUUAAGCCAAACAGAAAAUACCAUACAAACUGCAAUUUCCUAGCUCUUGAAGAAACAAGACAAUUUUGA
rnacentral:rRNA from 1 species